CAGUCGCCGCGGUAAUACGUAGGUGGCAAGCGUUGUCCGGAAUUAUUGGGCGUAAAGGGCUCGCAGGCGGUUUCUUAAGUCUGAUGUGAAAGCCCCCGGCUCAACCGGGGAGGGUCAUUGGAAACUGGGAAACUUGAGUGCAGAAGAGGAGAGUGGAAUUCCACGUGUAGCGGUGAAAUGCGUAGAGGUGUGGAGGAACGCCAGUGGCGAAGGUGACUCUCUGGUCUGUAACUGACGCUGAGGAGCGAAAGCGUGGGGAGCGAACAGGAUUAGAUACCCCGGUAGUCCCUGUCUCUUAUAC
rnacentral:rRNA from 1 species